rnacentral:rRNA from 1 species
UACGUAGGGGGGCAAGCGUUGUCCGGAAUCAUUGGGCGUAAAGCGCGUGUAGGCGGUUCGGUAAGUCUGCUGUGAAAGUCCAGGGCUCAACCCUGGGAUGCCGGUGGAUACUGUCGGACUAGAGUACGGAAGAGGCGAGUGGAAUUCCCCGGUGUAGCGGUGAAAUGCGCAGAUAUCGGGAGGAACACCAAUUGCGAAGGCAGCUCGCUGGGACGUCACUGACGCUGAGACGCGAAAGCGUGGGGAGCAAACAGG